rnacentral:misc_RNA from 1 species
CUGAGUGAGGGCUCACGCCCGACCUCCAACCCUUUGUGAACACAUCUUGUUGCUUCGGGGGCGACCCUGCCGGCCCUGCGUCGCCGGGCGCCCCCGAAGGUCUCCAAACACUGCAUCUUUGCGUCGGAGUUUAAAACAAAUUAAACA